rnacentral:rRNA from 1 species
UACAGAGGGUGCAAGCGUUAAUCGGAAUUACUGGGCGUAAAGGGUGUGUAGGCGGUUGUUUAAGUUUGGUGUGAAAUCUCCCGGCUCAACUGGGAGGGUGCGCCGAAUACUGAAUGACUUGGAGUGCGGGAGAGGAAAGUGGAAUUCCUGGUGUAGCGGUGAAAUGCGUAGAUAUCAGGAGGAACACCGGUGGUGUAGACGGCUUUCUGGACCGUAACUGACGCUGAGACACGAAAGCGUGGGUAGCAAACAGG